UUCAAGUGAAGAGUUUGAUCCUGGCUCAGAUUGAACGCUGGCGGCAUGGCUAAAGCAUGCAAGUCGAGCGAGAACCGGGCUUCGGCCCGGGGACAGCGGCGAACGGGCGAGGAACACGCUCCUUACGUGCCCCGAGGUGGGGGAUAGGUCGGGGAAACCCGGCGUAAUACCCCAUGAGCUCUACGGAGGAAAGCCGCAAGGCGCCUUGGGAGCGGGGAGCGUCCUAUCAGGUAGUUGGUGAGGUAACGGCUCACCAAGCCGAAGACGGGUAGCGGGUGUGAGAGCAUGACCCGCCGCAUCGGGACUGAGACACUGCCCGGACUCCUACGGGA
rnacentral:rRNA from 1 species